rnacentral:rRNA from 1 species
UACGUAGGGGGCAAGCGUUGUCCGGAAUCAUUGGGCGUAAAGAGCGUGUAGGCGGCUCGAUAAGUCUGCUGUGAAAGUCCAGGGCUCAACCCUGGAAGGCCGGUGGAAACUGUCGGGCUAGAGUCCGGAAGAGGCGAGUGGAAUUCCCGGUGUAGCGGUGAAAUGCGCAGAUAUCGGGAGGAACACCAAUGGCGAAGGCAGCUCGCUGGGACGGUACUGACGCUGAGACGCGAAAGCUAGGGGAGCAAACGGG